UCCUUCAUCCAUUUCAUCUUCUUUGUCUCACCAUUUUCCUCUUCAUUUUCCUUAGUUAUCACUUCCUAGCCAAAAACUAUUCCAAGACUCUACCCAAUUCACUCCUCAAACUUCCAUCACCUACAAGACCGUGACUAUCAUCCAUCCAUCAAUCCACGAAGCUCUUAGGCGCUAAGUCAAGGACGCUCCACCACCAUAGUAGAGACGAGUUCAUCACCUUGUUGCCAAGCCGCUGAGGAAAAGGCUUCAAAAUGUGUACCCUACAAUCCCCGGACUGAACGAUCCCUGCUUAUCCUAUACUGACAACUACAUUUUAUAGGGUUAAAUUGUGAGGCUAUUUUAGCACCAUCAGCAACCCAAUUUUCUCCUGAAUAAGAGGCUUCAGCCCACUGACAUAACGAGCCACCUUCUGGCCUUCAGUUUCUCCUAGUUCAUUACGCUCUGAGUAGCGUAAGAACUCAGCGGUGUACUCAGCCACUGUCCUAGUUCCCUGGACACAUUCAAUAUACAACCUAUACAGAAUCUGUUCAUAAUCAUCUGGCAAGAAUCUCUCCAUCAUCAGUUGUUUCAUUCUUAACCAUGUUUUAACACCCUGCUUCCUCUGCUUCUUUCGAGUGUUCUGCAAUUUAACACACCAAACUGUAGCAGUACUCUUCAAUCUCCAGGCAACAUGCUUAACCUGCUUGUGUUCAGGCACUUCCAUAAUCUCAAAGAAUCUAUCCACCUGAAGCUGCCAAUCCAGAUAAUCUUCUACACCCAAGUUGCCCGAAAAGAAGGGAAUUUCAGCCUUGACUUUGUAAUCUUGGUCAGCUUGUCCUUGUUGUUCAGGCUGCCAACAGUCCACGAAUUUCUCCAAUCUGAUUGUUCAGCUGAUUGUUCAUCUGAUUGUUCAUGGUGUUGAUGGCAGUGGUAAACGCUGCAGUCAGAGAAGCGGUAAGAGCAUCAAGAUCUGAUUUCGUAACUUCACCCAUUGCUACCAAGGUAAAUAAGAGAGAUAGGGAAGACCUGCUCUGAUACCACCUGACGCAGUCGGAAAGAUCACCUAGGUUUACAAGCAAUAAACCUAAAACAAAGGUUCUGGAGUCCACCAGAGAUAAAAGAGAAAAUUCUCAAUUUAAUUGAUAAUAUGAUAAAAGAUAGUUCUGCAGCCGUUUAAGGUUGCAUAUAUAUGAGAAAAGAAACCCUAGGGCGACUAACAAUGAAACCCUAAAGCCCACGGGUAAAAAUAAAACAAGCCCAAAACAAACUACGAAACUGAAACUACGAAAAACAGUAAAAUGCAAUUUUGAGGCCCUAAACGACCCCGAAAGCCCGAAAAAGGCCACAGGUCGUGGCAUAGUGUUAGGGGCCGCACUUGUAAUGCCGCAAGCAACCUUGUCCAGGGUCAUUAGUUAAGCCUUUGGUUGGUUUGCUUGCGUGCUAGGGUUGUUUUGGUAAUUUACAAAUUAUGUAAUUUAUUUUAUUUAGCAAUUAGUCUCCUCGGCCUUUUUCAUGUUUCCUCCUGUCAGGUUCAUGUAAGGCCGAUAUGCUCUAUAGGGAGGGGUUCCUAGUCGGCAUAGUUUGGACUACGAAACUAGUAUAGGUAAGCACAUGUACUUUUGCCUCCCUUACCGUCUUACCAUCAAUAAAAGAGGAAUUAUUCAA